GUAUAUAUAGCUCAGUGGUAGAGCAUAUGCCUAGCAAGCACAAGGUCCUGGGUUCAAUCCCCAAUUACC
rnacentral:tRNA from 1 species